CUGCCGUCUGCGUUUGAUUUAAACCAUGCAGCUUAUCCAUGUAAGUUUGAAAUCCUGUCAGUUUUCAGCGUUUUUGGAGUGAAGUGACCCAAACAGAAACCCUGGAAGCAGCUGCAGCUGCAGCGACAUUCGCUCUUCAAAGCUCCGGUUCUGGUCCAGACGCGGACCGGGCUGGCAGCUCUGACGGGUCCAGGUGUUGGGCUGAUUCAGGUUGUGCUGCGCACUCAGCCCAGAUCAAAGGCUGCGUGUUCAACAAGCUGUGAAUCAGGACCUCCAGCAGCUCACCGCAGGGAGCCACACUGACUCAGCGGCUCUUAGUCAAACAUGGAGGCUUUCCUCUGACUCUCUGUCUUCGUGUUUCCACGUUUAAUCUCCUCUGCUGAUGUAGGAGCUCAGACCGUCCAGCUGACUUCAGCCCAACAGGACCGUGUCCAACGUCAGGUCGUAGCUGUUCUUCCCAGUCUGAGGCCGUGACCUCUGACCCGACUGGAAUCUGAGCCGAUGUUUGUGUGGUGAAGCAGCUCCGCCCGACCCGCUCAGUGGAAACAGAACCGUUUGAAACGGAUUUGCUGUGUUGGUUUGACCCCAGCGGGUUGCCGUUAAAACCUUUAACCUGUAUGCUGGUGGACACCCAGAGCUCCCAGUCCUCCCAGUAGCGUAGCAGCAGUUGGUCUUUAUUCACCAGAUCAGAUUCAGCUGAUCCUGCCUGAAUAAAUUACCCUCGCUGCUUCUGGCUGAACGUUUAAAACCUCCGGAGUUCUGCUGAUUCAGACUGCUGUUUUCAAUUAUCAGGACUCUGAAGCACUUUGACCUCCUUCGCCUUCAUCCUGUACGGACCGCUGAGGCUUCUGGGUAAAUGUCUUCCCAUUUAAUGUCUUCUCUUUUAACAUCUUCUUGUUUAACGUCUUCCCAUUUUUAAAAUUAUUUUUUCCCCACCAGGGGGUCUUUUUGUGGGCUCUAGUGUCCCUUAUUUGAAAGGCCGACAGGAAAGAGGGAAUGAGAGGGGGGAAGACUUGCGGCAAACGUCCGCUGGGCUCGGGAAUCGAUCCUGCGACCGCCACGUCAAUGACCGAAGGCCUCAAAACGUGGGUCGUGCCACCCCCUACGCCACCACACCCAUCGUCUUCCCGUUUAUCGUCUUCCCGUUUAACGUCUUCCCGUUUAACGUCUUCCCGUUUAUCGUCUUCCCGUUUAACGUCUUCCCGUUUAACGUCUUCCGGUUUGUUGUGAUAAUCACACCUUGAGAUGAAGCUGGACAUUCAACCCAGUGAAGCUUUCCAGCUUUAGCUUCAGCUGGUGUCUGUUAAACAAGGAUCACUAAUCAAUUUAUAAAAUCAAUCACUUUGUUACAUGUGCCUAUGGCAGGUUUGUGUUCUCAGUGUUUAAUGUGACUUCUGUUCACUGGUCAGCUUCUUAUUGGGCUUGUAGAUGUAACUUUAAUCUUGCAGCAGCUUCUCUGGAAAUGUCUUUCCACAUUACCGUAUUUAAGCUGCUACUUUUUCCCCGCGCUUUGAACCAUGCGGAUAGGAAACGUUACGUUUCCUAUUUUUUCAUUUUAGAUAUAAAAGUUAAAUGUUUCUCAUGUGUUUAAAUCAUAUUUGUUCUGUAACGGUGCUGCACGGUUAUAUUUACAGCUGAGCUAUAUUUGCAUAUUUUCUAAGUUUGAAAAGGCUUAGCACACUUAGCUUAUGCUAAGCUAAUUUACCAAAUGAAUUCAAAAUGGUGAUGUACUAAAGUUUGACAUUUGUGUUGAAGAAUUGCUCUUUUGUUUACAUUCAUGCUCUUAUUUUGAAGGGGGUGAAGGCUGUUUCAGCAGUAGUUCUGUUUCUCCUCAUGUUCUUAGCCUGUGACGUUUAUUCACUACCCAGAAUGCAUUGCUGCGUGCUUUCUGACAGAAGCUCUUCUGUUUUCAAUCAGGAAAAAUCAGCAGCAGAGUUACCAAAACUAUAGAAUGAGACAUGUUUGAAUUCAGUUGAUGGAUUCUCUGGUGCCGACCGUCUGCUUGGACUGGACCAACAGAACCAAACAACCUGGUGGGUCCGGUCCUCAUAGCAGCAUCAGGCUUGUUUUCCUCAUCAUUUAACUGAACGAAGAAAAGCUGAGCUUCGUCUUCUGUGCAUCUGGAUGAUCUGCUCUGAAACAUUUCCAGUGGAGUUUAACCUUCAGGUUUUAAAUCUUUUUAAGAAUCAUAACAGGCUUGAUGGAGCCUCUGUGGCUGAGAGGCAGAAAACGAUGAAUGAGGGCAGGAAACCGCCGGCAUGAAAGAACAGCUCCGAGUUUCCUGCUGCGUAAAUAAAGACGAGCUGAAGUUAUUUAAUAUUCCAGUCAUUUCUGGUCCUGAAUAAACAGGGAGGAUCUACAGACUGCAGUGGACACAUCAGACUCAUGAUUAAUGCAGAUCAGACGAGAAUCCAUCGUUGUUCCUGGACAUGAAGCAGCAUGCAGCCUUUUAUGGUCACAAAGUGCUGAAAACUGCCUCAGGAUCUGGAUAAACCCUGGCUGUUUAUGUUGGGACCACCUCACUUCCUGUUAGGCUGCUGACUAACAGCUCGGCCUUCAUGGAAGGAGGCCGGUCCUGUGGGGUCAGAGGUCACGUCACACAGACUCGUGCUGCAGCGCGGCUCCGUGCAAACAUUAAAGUCCCAACAGAAACACUGAAAUAUGAAUGAGACCGCAGCAUAAACAAACCACAGAAGAAGCUUCUUCCUCACCUCAGCAGGACGAGCCGCGGCGUUACGCCAGCCUGACUCGCUCAUCAUCAGCUGAACUUCGGGUUGCUGGUUGAAUUCCUCAGAUAAGAACAAAACCGUCUGACGUUUUAGCUGACCUUUAUUGGAUGGAUAAGUUCUCGGCAGGCUAAGAUUCAGGAACGCCUCUGCUGCAGAUGACCUUUAUGAACAAUAUUUAUGUUAUCAGAACCAGAAGCUUCAUCAGGAAACAAAGAGCCGGACUGUCAGGAGGUUUUCCUUCUGUAACACAACGCAGCACGAUGGAGGUAAAACACUGAGUCCGUACAAAACCAUAAAACUGAACUACAGGAGGCUGGUUUAUUUUAUUUUUACAGGUUUUAUUGGCUCUAGGGCCUUUAUUUGAGAGAGGUCAGACAGGAAAGAGGAAGACGUGUCAAAGGUCACCAGGCCGGGACUCGAAUCCGUUUUCCCUGAUUCCCAGGUAAAAUGUUGCUGAGAUGAGUGAAGGAUUGUUUUGUCUGACGUUGUUCUGGGAAACCAGCCAACCACAGUGAGUUUGGACCAAACCGCCGCAAGCAGCCGGUCCAACAUGACGGGCAGCGAGGGAGGAGCAGGAAACGCACCGGGAGAGGAAACCAGGAGCAGAACCAUGUGGUUUCACAGCCGGGCCGGUCCGGUCCGGUCCGGUCCGGGCCGGGCCGAUCUAAACGUCCAGCCGCACUCUGCUCCUGACGCCUCGGAAAACAGCUUCAAUACUAACAGCCACAAGGUUCUGGUUCCACGUCUGUCGGCCCGGUUACAGUGUGUCGGCUGGUUCUGUUUCCUUUCAGUGGGUUUCAGGUUUCUGAGGAAGCCGGUUCUGAUCCGGAUGGGUUAAUUUUAUCUGUAAAGGAGCAGCAGAGGCAGAGAGGCUGCAGCUGCCUGGGAUCUUCAUCUGUCAUCCUCCUCAUCCUCAUCAUCAUGAUCCUCAUUAUCUGUUCUCACUUUCUCCUCUCUGCUUCCUGUUUCCUCCAGGUGAACCUCCGUCUUCCUGCUCUCUGUUUACCCAUCUCUUUCCCAUCCUUGACUUCUUCUCUCUCUCUCUCUUCGUCUCUCUCUCUUCGUCGCUCCCUCGUUAGCGGGUCUCAUCCCUCACUCCUGUCGUUCUCCUACGCAGGAUGACGAAGGAAGCGGUGGAGUGGAUUCUUCUGAUCUCCUCAGCUUUUUGAAGUUCUGUCGUCUGUUUUCUCUCUUUAACUCUCUUUGUGCAUCAUCUCCCCCCAGAGUGUGUGUUUGUGUGUGAAUGUGUCGCCUCUUCUGUCUCUGAAGAGCUCUGAGUGCUUUAUGUAACACACACACACACACACACACACACACACACACGGUGUGUUAAAGGGACCUGGAGCUGAACCUGAAUCUCACCUGAGCCGCCAAGCGGAGUCAGAACUCUGAAAGUCCUCUGAAGGACACGGUGUCCUCUCAAACUCGGCGUCCCGCACGAGGACGUCCUCACAGCCAACCGUCCAGAGACACAGGAUCAAACACGCUUCAUCUUCUUCUACUUCCUGUCUUGUUUCCAGGCUGAAGUCUCCAGAUAAUUUGAUAGAUGAGGGUAAAACUGCUCAAGGACUCCUGAACGUGGCAGCGAAGUCUGUAAACGCAUGCAGAGGAUCCACGUUUUACCUCUGGAACAAAGGAGCAGGAAUAAAAACUUUAUUACUGAAAGAUGAGGAUUCUUUGGCUCCAAAGGGUUAAAUCUUUAUGUUUCUCAUUCUGUAUUAAACAUUUAGUUUGAUGAUGUUCCUCUGAGCGUUCUGUGUGUUUCAGGUUUUAUGUUCUGAUGGAUCUGCUGCAGUGGGACUGAAACCAUCUGUGAUGUUCUGAUACUUUCACCUACUGAACCAGAACCUUCCAGAACAUUUCAUAGAGACUCUGUUUUAUUUAAUUCUUUGUUUGUCUUGUUUCAGUUUCCAGCUACCAUAAAAAGCUGAUUUUUUUCAUGAUUACAUUAAAUUAAGUGAAACAAGCAUAAAUUUGUGGUUCAGAAAGUCAGAAUCUAAUGGAUUCAGAGAAAAACUUUUAUUACAGAGGAAGGUUUUUUUUGUGAAUAUUUUGGAUUUUUCUUUAGACAAAUGUUCCAGAACCAGAACCAGCAGUUCUUCCUGAGGCGGUCCAGCUGUGUUCUUCCUCACCUCUGUGUUUUCAUUUGAACUCUCUGUUUUAUCUCCAGAGCCAUAAAAAUAAAUCAGGUGUUUUAUUUCGGACUCUGAUGGAUGAAUCAUCCCAUCGGUACUGGGAGGACGGCGGUCCGAUUCGGCUGCAUCAAUGCAGGAUAAUCGUCUGAGACGGUCCUGACCUGAUGUGACUGCAGGGCCGGGUCCAAAGAUCUGCUGUCGGCUCCGUAAUCCUGCAGCCAAGCAAGCCGGCUCAGGGUUCAGGUCAAAGGGAGUUUGGCAGUCAUGGCGACGUCCCAGACCUGCGAGGAUGAUCAAGAUGUGACUGAAGACUGGAUUUGUUCCUGAUUGAGACUGAGGAACGCGUGAGCUUUCAGAGGAAGCUCAGAUACUUUCUCUGAAAGCAUCUAGGCCGUGGCUUAGAAGAAAACAGAAAUCUGUUGGACCAGCAGCAGAGUCCGGCGUCGUCCUCACCGUAAUCAUCAGAACACAGCAGGAGGAGGAGGAGGUGCCAUGAUGUGUAGGAGUGGACCCAAUCGCAGCAGUGACUCUUAAUUAUGAUCACAUCCAGUCACACUGAAGGAAGAAACAGGCUGAUCCAAUAAACUGGAGAACCAGAACUCGGCCCGGUGCCGCCUGGAUGAUUACUGACAGAACCAAACUGGUUUGGUUUGAUGAAUGAGGAGGAAACCAGUCUGGGUUCAUCUAACACCCAGAUGGAAGAUGAGAUCCGGCUCGUAUGGGGCCCAUUUCUGCAGACACAUCCUGAUUGAUGUCAUCUAAAAAUAAAAAUGUUUGUUCAUUAUUAGUAGCUACUUUGACCUGAUCUCAGGAUUUUCCAUUCUAGUUUAUUCUUCUAAUGACUCACCUGUUCCUCUGCUCAGCGCUUUGCUUCGUGUUUCCAACCUGGAUCUUUCCUGACCUCCUGACCUCCUGACCUCUUGACCUCCUCCUGCUGUCAGCUGUUAUUUUAUUGCUUUAGUUAUUAAAUGUAAAAUAAUUCUGGAUUCCUCCUGUUUGGUCUCAGAACAUGACAGAAACAAAGCGACAUGAAGCAGUUAUCUGAAACUGAUCUCAUCUGUGCUGCAUGGCAGCAACAUCAACACGCUGGAGGUUAAAGGUCACGGUAUCAACUCGGUCCUCAUCAGUCAGGAAGUCAUAUAGAUGUGAAUGAACCUCUUACAGUGGAAGGACUUCCUGACACCAGAAUCAUUUAGGGGUUUAUUGAUGUUUCUGAGGGACCGUCUGGCACCGAGCUGGUUAGAAAUGUUUGGUCCUGAUCUCUGAUGGACUUCAGAUCCAGUCAGAUAUUGACUGUAGACUCAAAUCUCCAAACUUCUCCUGGAUUCUUACAGCUGAUUCAUUUCUGCUUCAGAUCAGUUUGUCUAGUUUCUCUCUUUCUCUGCUCUGAAACCAUCCGACAGUUUAGGACUAAAGUUUAGAUUCAGAUCUUUAAGUAUAUUUACCUUAAAGACUUUUGUUUUUUUCUGGUGAAUCUGGUUAUUUCUUUCUGCUGUUUUUGUAUUUGAGACGUUCACUGAUUCAUUUCUGACUUUAUUCUUGUUCUUUCUCUCAGUGAGACUUCCUUUAAAACACAUCUCUUCAUAAGAUGUUUAUCAUCUUUCUGUCGGAUCCUGUGGAGAAACAGCAGAGCUAACUGUGGCUCACUGCUGCCCCCUGCUGGAUCUGAUCACAGAUUACACCCAGAAUAAUUUACCUCUGUCUAUUAUAUGACCUGCCUGACAGAUUUAUUGUCUGAUUUUGUUUAUGAAUCAGUAAGAUGUUUGGUUGCUCUUCACUGAAACUGUAAAAGUGUUUCUCACAGAGUGAUUAGUUACCAAACUAUUAAUCACAAGUUAGAGAAAAUGACAAACAUGAAAUAUUUUUAACUUAAAACCCAAAACUCCGGCUUUUAAGGAGUAAAUAAAAUUUCUCUGCAUCGUUUUAAACAUCCAAAAGGUCACAUGAUUUCUGAGAAGUUAAUAAAGGGAAGCUCUCGAUGUUCACUCAGUUCAGAAGCCUUUUAGUUUCAUCGGAUCAGAAUAAGAAGCUGACUUGGUGAAUGUUUGACCGGACAUUCGUCUCCUUUGGGUUUGUGGGCUGUAAAGGGAACCAGAACCAGAACCAGAACCAGAACAGUCUCCACCAACGCUCAGGUUGGAACCACACAACUUUACAACUUCCUGCUCUCUGUCUUCACUUUGACCAUUCAGUAGUUUAAUGGUGAACAGAAACUUGUUCUGUUCACAUUCUGUAAAUAAGUUGGAUUUUUAAGUCAUUCUGAAUAUUUCCGUGUUAAUCUGUUGCAGUUUAUUGAAUAUAAUUCUGUCCUUUGUGAAAAGAGAAAUUAUUCUCCUGGUAGAUGUUAGAAAGUUUUGGACAUUUACAGAAACUGCUGAGUUCCUCAUGUUGAAGCUGCUUUCUUAUCAUCCUGCAGAUCUGAUGUUAUCAUGAAGCUCUAGGUUCAGACUUUGAGAUCAGCUCAAAGGAUGAAUGUCAGCUGGAUGUAUCGAUGUCUGUAAUCCUCUAGACUGUUUCAGACAUUUUAAAGCCUCAUCAGAUUCAAGUUUACUGCUGAAAUCAAUUUGUUAAACUUUCUGCCUUGCAGGACACUCAGACAGCAGCUGCCUGGUUUCUUUUCCAGACAGACUGCAGUGCAGAAGAUGGAGGUUCGAGUGAAGGAUGAUCAGGACAAAGCCGAGUCUCUGGGAUCCAGCUGUCUGACUCUGACGAGAAUCUGAUCCAAACCUGCUGCUUCUCACAAUGAACAUGAACCUUCAGACAAAACACUUGGUGGCUGUAAACUCAGAAAGGAUGAAUGUGAAGUUGUGGCUUCAGCUCUGAAGUCCAACCAACAUCUGACUGAACUGGAAAUAAAUCGGAUCGACAUACUGGGAACCAUUACAGACUCUGAUCUGAAUCCUGUGUUUGAGAUCCUGAAGAGUUCAGUCAGUAAAGUGAAGAAUCUGAGGUUUGUUUUCUCUGUUUAUUCUAUAAAAACUUUCAUUGAUACUUUAAUAUUUAUUCAUCUUCACAUUUAUUCUGUUUUCUUUAAAACAAUCUGCUCUCAAAGUGUCAGAUUAUAAUUUCUAAAAUAUUUUGUUUUGUCAAUGAAUGAUUUUCCUUUUUCAGACUUUCAGAAAAUUGAUCUUUAUUUUCACUUUAAAAUGUUUUGGACUGAUGAAAAAUCCAAAAAGAAAGUAAAGCUGGAGACAUGAGAGAUCAUAAGAAACUAGGUAUUAACGAGGAGAGGAGGCAGAGCAACAGGUCAGAGUUCAUGAGACGAACUGGCGGCUCGUAGUGGAGAAAGAGGAGCUUAAAUACUAGGAGGAGGUGAGAAGAAUGAAGCAGAGAUGAUGAACUAAUUGGUAACAGGUGAGAAAAGUUGAGCAGGAGUCAGCAGAGGGUGGAGGAGAAGGUGGCAGAGGGAAGCUGGGCUUCUUUGCUUUAUUUAUUUUAUAGAAAAGUAAUAAUAAAAAAGUAACUUUGUUUUUCUAAAUAAGCCAGACUGCAGGUCUCUGUUGCUCUGUUGUCUUUCACUGGUGGAACAGAAUUAUUCCUAAAAAGACGGUUUAUAGUUGAUGCAUUUAAAGGGCCACCAAGCCGGGAGCGUGGACCAAUCUCUGCACGUUGCUUCAUAUGAAGUUUACCUCAGCAUGGAUUUCAUCCUUUCUCUCCAACUGGACGCAGGCUGACCUGUAUGGAUAUUUACAUCAACCCCUGUGAGGACCAGUGUUGGCAUAGUUACUUUGAAAAAGUAACUUUAAUCAGACUACUGAUUACUCCUUGAAAAGUAACUUAGUUAUAUUACUG